rnacentral:pre_miRNA from 1 species
UGGAGGUUAGGUGGUAUGGAGCUGGAACGCUUGCCUACGUAUGCCGCUAGGGGCGCUGUUCCAACCACAUACAAAUUUGAGUGA